AAAAAAAAAAACACCUUUGCUGCUCCCACUAUUUAAAUGAGACUACAAGCGCAGACUACAAAAACCUAGCUUCUGGGAAUCGCCUAACCCAGGCUAUCAUCUUUUCAACCACAAUACGGUUAAGCAAACUGCUAAAGUGUAUUUUUCCAGUUAUUCUUGCUAUUAGAAAGCUAAACAGCUGUACCCUACCUUGAGGGUAACUUUUUCACAGCAACUCUACAGAGCAAUCUCUCCAGCUUUAGCAUAAAGAUUAGCAUUAGCAUUCAGUAUCAAAAAUAAGCCUCACUACUUCAGACUUGUUUGAGAUAUUCAGGAAUUCUGCCAGGUAGGAUUAAUGUAUAUGCAUUGUAUUUAAUCAUCCCUUUCUUUCAUUAACACAAGAAAUCAGUAACGUUUUGUCUUCAGAUUAUGCAUACAACACUUAAGAACAGACAGCGCUUGGUUUUUGUAAAAUCAACCAGGAGCUCCACUAUGCUGUUCUGAUUGUGCUCAAGGACUCAUACUGAUUUCAGCGAUUAUGAGUUAAGCCCGCCUUCCUAGAAGAACAAGUCAUUAAAAACUGGUGCUUCCAGGGGGAGCACAUGACCCUGUAGUGCAAAACCUAAAAGGACAUGCUUCAGACAAAUAUCAUCAGCAGUACUGCUCUGAUAAAUGCUCUCACACGUGCCAAGUAGAAAGCACAUAGAAAAAGUUUCCAUGGCACUGGAAUGAAAACUGAUCGCCUUCUUUAGCGAUCGUUGACUACGAGCUGUGCUGAGUUCCAAAUGCCCUUCAGAAUUUCUUUUAAAUGAAGAUUAUUUAUCUGAAGAAACUACAUAUGUACUUAAAAAAUACUCUUGACUUGCCUCUUCCAUGCAGAUUUGCCAAUAUUAAAUACUCAGAGAUGGAAACAGCAGGAUUUGAGCAUUUCAAAUCCAACUACUUUUAUUCUAUAAGGCAAGUGAUUUAACUAAGAGUUAGUUUGCUCCAUGGUAGUAGAGCAGGACUACCAUUUCAAGCCAUAGAAAUGUGUUAGAUGUCCAUAAUAGAUGAGGACAGUCCCAUUUUUAGAGAAACUGCCCAUGUGAUGAGGCAGAAAAAGUUCCACUGUUUAAGGGUGUUAAAGUAGGUAUAGAAGUGUUCUUUGCUAAACACCAAGCUUUGCGGGAAUAAACAAGGGGGCAGCUUUGCCUUUUAAUAAUCAAGUGGCACCUAUAUGCAUGUAUUUAUCUGCCAUCUGUAAGUAUACUAGCAGGUGCCUUGAGUCUGACUGCAGCUCAACCAGCAACGCUGUACUUUACACCAAAUAGUAGCACUCACCUGAGGAACAAAAUAACCCCCCUAACUGUCCAAAGAACAUAGCAUUGCCAAACAACUGCAUCUGCCUGAUAAGCCCUACAAGCACCAGCACGAGCUCUUUCCAGCUCAUCUACCCCCCAAACACGAUACAGAUAGUCCUACAAAACUGAGCAUAAUUCAUUUUCUUCACUAAGAUGAUCCACGGCGUCUCUCAAGUUCCAAAAAGAGGUCUUGUAAUGAUCUGAGCUAAAAUAUCCAAGGGCCAAACCCUAAAAAUCUAGAAAUGACCUCACACAUUUAAACUGACAGACUCAGAGGCACCAAAGUUACUCUGGUCCACAAAUAAAACAAGCUAUUUUUCUGGUACAAUGGGUCUUUUCCAGAUCAGUGCCAAGGCAUUUCGGUGAGGCGGUCUCUGAGGGAAAGCGUAGCUCUGCUUGCUGUCCUGAGGAGCACGCGGUCUGCCAGAAAUUCUCCCAUCGACCGCACUCUCUCCUGCACUGGAUCAAGAGCGUUUUGAACUGAAAUUUGCCAUUAUAUCCAAAUUAGUCCAUUACAUGAUUAAGCAUCUUUUCAGGAAGGGACAGUCUAAAUUCCCUGCCAGAGCACUCUGUCCCUCCUUUAAUUGGAGGGAUUGAAUCAUUUUCAAAUCAUACACUCCAGCUGAGCAUUACCCCAAAUAUACACCUUAAAAAAGGCAUUAGCCUUUUUUAAGGGGAAAAAAAAAAAAAACAAACAAAAAAAACAGCCACCAGCAUACCAGGCUAACCCAGACGCAUGAGCUGCUCGCCUCCAGGCGAGCUGCAGCGCUGGUGGAUGCAGUGAGUCCUCCUCCUGCCUCCAGUAAAGCAGGGGGAGAUUUUGCAUUGCUGUUUAGCACCAAAGGAUGCCACCCCACACAAACUGCUGUAAAGACCCCUCUUUCUCUCGGGUCUAACAGCCUGUUCCCCGGAGCUGGAGACUGCCUGCUCUCCCCUGAAAGGGAGGGAGAGAGGGAUGGAGGCUGGCCAGCCUGCUCAGCCCACCCCAGGCAGAGGAGGGGAGAGGAGGGGGCACCUCCCCUGCACUCGCCACAGCCCGAAACACAUGGGGAGGGGGCUGCAGUGUCGCAAGCAUUAGCCACAGCGGCAGCAGCAUUGUUCACAGGGUGACAGGAAGGAAAGAACUAGACUGGACCAGUCCAGACUGGAACAAACCCCUCCUACCAUCACUAUUAUCCACAACCCCCACCGCCCCCCCACCACUGCUGCCUCUCACACAUUUAUCAGGGGAAGAAUGGCGAGCAAGUGCAGGGUCUUCAGAGACAAACCCAGCAGCUGGGGUGGGAGUGGAAGUGGGGCAGCAUCCACCCCAACCCUCUGCCACGCAGCGCAGGAAACCCAGCCCCGCUUCUGGGUAGGCAGAGGAGGUAGACCUAAGCUGCUUUACUGGAUGCUGCGCUGUGUUUUCGUGCAGGGCGGCUGUGUUCGACUGGGAGCAGUACACAAUCAAAUCAUGCUCAGUCACUGGAGACUGCUGCAGAGGUCUGAAACGCAGCGCUUCUCCCGUCUGCUGGCACGCACCAGCUGUGCAGGGUUUUACAGCGCAGAAGAUGCGCUUCGGAAAGGCUUGGGAGAAGGUUUCAGCACACUUACUGUCCUCUUUGCAAGAACGGGGGUCCCCCCAGCACAGACACGCACCUUCUCGGGCUCUGAAUGAGGCCAGCUACUGACCAGGUAGGGUCUGUGGUGUGGUCUGGUGGCAAGGUGCGAUGGCAUCCUCCUCAGCCGUGCCAGGUGCCCUGUGCUCGCAGUCCCCUUCACCAGGGCAUGACACCCCUGUCCCACACCAUGCUGACCCUGAGCGGGGUCUCAGCACACCCUCGCACCCAGGCACAUGUUUUACACACACACACACACACACAGUCGGGAGCUGGGCCACCGCUCGACUGCCUCUCUGCCCUAUGCUUUCCGAAAGCUACCGCAAACAGCCGGGUGGGCCACCAGGACUGGCUGAGGCCACCAAAUGGAGGAGGCUGAGGCUUAAGCAGGAGACUUCCAGAAGGACUGGCAGCACCAAACCUGCUGCCGCUGCGCUGACUGACUGACCAAGGGGAGGGGAAAGCGUGCGUCCUUGAGACAAGCUUUCUUCUGCUCAUCUUUUCUGCUCCUCGGGAGGGAGAAACACCUCUGGCCACAGGAGGAGAUAGAUGAACGAGAGGGAAGGCCUCCCCUUUCCCGCACACCCCGCUGGACUCCCCAGCACCUCAGCGUUACGGCAAUUUGCCCCGUCAUCCCCACUCGCGUGCGGGAAAGAGCCACUUGUGCAAUACCCUCCUGACUUGUGCGGCACCCUCAUGACUCGUGCCGUCACCGCCGCUCGGCGUUGUGACCCCCCGUGAGCAACACGGAGAGGGACGGGUGAGAUCCCCCUGAGGUGACCCUGUGCCACCCCAGGAGCCGCUCAGACAUCUCCUGAUGGUAGCAGCUGAAGAUAUCCCAGCAGUAUGUGAGUGAAGUAACCACCACAUCAGUUACUGCCAUUUCGUCUACGUUCGUCUUCCCGGAGGAGUUCUUGUUUUGCUAGAUCAUCACGAAAACCUGCAGGAUCAGCCAGUGGCCAAGGGUUUGGUCUCGGUGGAAUUUAUCUUUUCUCAUGACAAACGUCUUCUGAUCAGAGACAAGGAGUGAGUUUUCCCUCUGUGGAUAAACAGGAGGUAUCUGUUCCCAGAAGAAUGAACUAGUCAACAGUGGUAAGACUACAUCAACUUAAAAAUGCAGCAGUCCAAGCACUAUAGUGGGAUGAAGUGGGCUGUUUACCAUCCAAGCCUUCUGAUGGAGGUUAAAAAACUAUAGCACAUGCUGUUACUGGUGUUUUUAUAAUGGAGAGAGUCUUUUCUGUUAAAUAUUCUCAUCAAACAUACAUGUUGCUGUUUGUUGCAUUUGCAAGGAAUCUUUUCUUUCCAGAUGUUUUUUCUCAGCCUUGUAGGAUUUGUGGAAGUAGUCUUCCCCAAAUUUGAUUCUAGCUCCAUGCAAUGAGUAAGGGUGUUGUCAGGCUCUUUUGCUUGCUAGUAAUUCUUGUCGGUCACCUCUCAGCUUGCCGAACACACGUGUAUUCUGCUCAUGUUUUCUAGAUAGAGAAGCUCACAGCAGCCACAGCAGUUUGUCUGAGCUUCCCUGGCUGCUAGGGCAUUUCGUUGAGCAUGAGCUCCAUCAGUUCGCAGUCUCCAGAGAGGAAGUUUUCCACCUAACCCCUGAAGGGGCACUUCACACUCAUCAGUGUCUUCCACCACCCUUCCUGCUCUGGGAGGUGGCAGUCAUCUCCACCGCAGGACCCGUGAGCAGCAAGAAGGAACGCAGUCUCUCAAGAUUGCACGUCAGUGCAGUCUGAGAUGUCUCUGAACGUGCGUCUGCAUUUUCUGUUUGAUUAACAGCAUUGUCUCGCACAUUCUUGGGAUAAGAGAGCCACGAUGCCAGGCAGAGGCUUUUCCUACUAGGGUGAAAGGGGCAGGACUCAGACAGACUAAAACCUAGCAAACUCUUUCAGUGUUUUCAAAGCAAGUGACAAUGCAUUUGGAAAAAAAAAAAAAUUGACCCAUUUAAGAUAAACCCUGUUUACUUUACUUGCAUGAAUAGAUUUGCUAAUGUUAGUAGGAAUAAGAUGAGCAGACUGGCGCUAUUUGCUGCCUCCAGAAUCUGAAUUUUCUUUAUCGUGUGUAUUAGAAGUAAAGACAGAGUUUUUUGAAAAGAUAUUUUUUUCCCCAUAAAAUAAAGAAAACCCAUAUAUGCCACGUCUGUCGGUAGUGACCAACAUGGAAUAAUUACUCCUACAACACCUGAAGGAUCUGCAGGGUCUGUCACAUACCUUGCAAGGAGAGGGGUUACAAGGCUCUGAACUUGUGCAUUUAGUUGUCAGAGCACUGAAGUAGUGGUGCUGCUGCUACUUGGGGCCUCUAAAGAGAUAGUCAGCAAGCUUUUGAGUCCCUAAGUGGAUGCAACCAAGCUGUAUUUUUCAUCUCAAGCAAACUGUUCAUGUACCUGUGACAUGGGACUGGUCCUCAUCUCUAAGAUUUGUACCUUGUAAUUUCUUUUUCCAGGCUCGGUCUUUCUGUGGUCCUCAAAAACUAGGAAGGAAAUCCCUUUUAAAUGUUCUUGCCAUUAAGAUCCCCUGAGCCAGCUGAUCUUGUUCAGGCCUUCAGCCACAGUUUGCUUGAGAACGUGAGGCAGCAUCUUGGGUCAGGCACGACGUUGCUGAAGGUGAAGCAGCAGCUAUGGAUGUCAUCUGCUCAGGAUACUGUGUUAGUGCAGCCCCUUGCUUUGCUACUUCCACUCAACACGCAGAACCACAAGGAAAGUUAGCAAAGCAAGGCAACAGGGAUGAAUUACACUGCAUUUCAUCACAGCCAGCCUGAAUAGUCAGUACCCUCUAAAUGUGACCAUUGUGAAAUGCAAGUGAAAGCUGGAUGUGAAGGAAUCAUCAGACAAGACUGGGGCCAUAUCUUCUGGCUGGUGCUUGACCCUCUUUUUUGGUACCCAGCAGCGAGGGUGCAUGGCCCAGUGUGCACACUCAAACCAGAAGAUGUGUUGCCAAGCCAGAAGAUCUCAGUUGUUUCUAACUUUUCCCAAAACCCAAGGUAUGACCCCAAGGAUCAUGUAGGGGCGGCAGGGUCAGGCUUGGCAAAGCCACCACCGAGCAGGAGGUGUGAGCUGCUGACAGCUGCUGACCUGAGCCUGGCCAUUAGUCCCCAGGGCGUCCCUGCAAAGGGAACACAGCUCUGCUGCUCACCUCCCUGGGGAGACCUCCAGGGACAGGGGACAGCAAACUGUGGCUCAGACCAGUGAGCACUGUGCUGUGGAUGUUCACUACUUAAUCACCAUCGUGAAAAUCUCCACUAAACCUGGUUUGCAGCUAUUAACUGUGCCUAGCGCUCUGAGAACAGGAUUGGUUUUUGUUAAAGAUCAUGUACAAAAGAGGCAGAUAAUUCUGUUCAUGCUUGAAACAGCAAGAAAAGGAAUAAUCAGGAGUGCUUUUUAGAAUACAUUUUCCUGCAAUUAAAACAUUUCAAGGCACCUAAUUGUUUCUUAUGGUACAUUAUGAAAUAAGUAGCAGAAAAGUGAAGGAUGCAGCCUCACACAAGAUUCCUGCAAGCAUCAAUGGUGACACGAACACGUUGAUGUGGCGGGAGCACAUUCCCUGGAUCACUGGGACAUUUUCAGAAUUCUACACACUUAGAAUUAUAGAAUCACAGAAUGGUUUGGGUUGGGAAGAACCUUAAAGCCCACCCAGUUCCAACCCCCUGCCAUGGGCAGGGACACCUCCCACCAGCCCAGGUUGCCCAAAGCCCCAUCCAGCCUGGCCUUGAGCACCUCCAGGGAUGGGGCAUCCACAGCUUCUCUGGGCAGCCUGUGCCACUGCCUCACCACCCUCUGAGUAAACAGUUUCUUCCUAAUAUCUAAUCUAAACCUACCCUCGUUUAGUUUAAAGCCAUUCCCCCUUGUCCUAUCACUAUACUCCCUGAUAAAGAGUCCUCUUGAUGGAGCUCAGCAGGCAGCCUAAAAACCCUUUUAAUUACCAGAAACACCACCGUCCUCUCCUUAUUGCCAAUUUCUUCUUUACACCCUCCUUUCCUCUCAUGUUAUGUGUCACUUUCCUGUAUAUUUUAGAAUUUUCUUUGCCCCUUCCCAGGGUGAGGCAGGGCCUCAGCACCACACCUGGGGGGAGGCUGUGGUCCUGUGGCUGGGCUGGGUGCCGCAGGAGGGUGCAGAUGGGCUGAGCAGCCCCAACCCGCUGCUGGUGAUGGAAGGGGCCUGCAGGUGGGUUGCCCUCGCAGGAGAGAAACACAUGAAGUGAAGCGUGGUUCAGAUUUCCUCCUGCCACGUGGCACCGUGUCUUUCUUUCAUUCUGGACGUCCUGAUCCCUUUCUAGAUACAGAGCAGGGCUUUGGGAUUUCAGCUUUGCCCUGAGGAGCCAAGGAAAUGUUUACCCUUUUCUGUAAGAGAAGUGGGGUUUAGAAGAUUGAUUAAAAUAAUAAUCUAUGGAUUGUGUUUCUCAGAUUUUACCACAUGUAAACACAAUCUUAAGUGUAAUCAGUUUCAAUGACUUCUAUUUAAUUCCUGGACAAAGUUUGCUUUUAAAUACCGCACCAAAUUGGACAUGGCCAAAGACAAAUUGAAUGCAAUUAGUUCUACUAUUUGUUUUGACGAUAUGCUAAAUUAUUUCUUACAACAGAGCAUUUAUUAUAAAAAGCUAAUGGUUAUACUCUUGCGUUUAACAUCUAAUAUAUUGUAAACCAUGGCAAACUGAUAAGUUUCAAAAUGAGUUAUUAAAGUCUGGGAAAAAAAAAAUCUAUGAGUUUCAUCUAGUAAAUAAUUGUCAAUGCCCAAAUGAUCAUUUUCACAAAUCUUAAACUGGAAGAAUUUCAUAUGCAUUUCUGAUCAUUGCAUAAAUCAGAAAUGUUAAUUACACUGCCUGUUACUGAUGACUUUAAUUUAUAUUCCCGUAAUGAAUGUAUAUUCUUAA